ACCACCAUGCCCUGCCUGCUUAGCUUUCUAAAGAAUGCCAAGUGUUUUUCCAAAGUUGUUCCACUCUGUACUCCCUGUGGGACAGGUAGCAGUGUACGUAGCAGUAUGAGAGCAGUAUGACUAGCAGUGUGUGAGAGCUCCUGGUAAUAUUAGGCUUUUUAAAAAGUUUUCACCAAUUCGGUAGGCAUGUAAUGGGAUUUAACUGUAGUGUGAAUUUCUUCCAAUAUUUUGAAGGCUUGUGAGGAUUCUGUGAGGAAAAGAAGCCCUUUUGUUUAAGAGUUUCUUAAGGGGAAUUUAAACCAUAAUUGUAUUAUAGUUAUUUUUGAACAUGUAUAAAGAAAAGGUUUCCAACACUGAAGCUUUAGGUAAGAUAAAAGGUCAUUAAAAUGGGAAGGGUCUUACCAGAAAUUAGUUUUCUGGAAUGUGCAAGAUUUUGGAAGAUGCAGUAUUUAAUUUUUAUCUAAUUAAUGAUCUUUAUCAUGUAAGAGUAUUUUCACUAUGUGGCUGAAUAAUGUUAGCCAGAUAAUUUUCCUGCAGCUCAUCUAACUUAGAUGACCUUUAGUCUAGACAUGCACACCACAGAGCGUGGCGAUGGAACAGUAACCGGGCUUGUGAGAGGGCUCUACACUAUCAACUAGGAGACAAGAUCCACGGAUUCACCAUAAACCAGGCAGGAAGGAUGGCGGCUGGAACACGAGAAUCCUAGCGACCCCAGACACCCUUGGUCUUUAAAGGAGUCGUCUUUAGUGAGAUGAAGGGAGGGUUUGUAAGUUUUCUUUCUUUUUAAUGUUGUGUUCAGCUUACCUUACCCAUGUACAGAACCAUGAUACAGACACAUCUGGAAGGUGGUUGAUUUUUAUAUAAUAUUCUCAUUAUAGGUGACAUGUUCUUGGAUUAGCUAGGUCAGUGCUGUGAGCAGAAGCCAGGGGAUUAGCAGGGCCAGGAUGCUGUCUCAGACCAUGUCUGACGACCCCCGUGUAUGAUCUGCAGCGAGAGAAAAGCUCUUUUCAUACCACUAUCAACACAUUGUCUUUUUCACUCAUUCUUGCCCAAGUACAUGGUGUACUUUCUAGAGGCUGCGUGGCGAGGUGUGUGACACGCACCAAGCUGCAUACAGAGCAGAUGGGGGAGUCCAGCUUCACCUCUGACCCAGACACUACAGAGGUUUGCAAAAAAGGCAACACAGCAUCACUCUAAGUAAUCAGUUUUUUACUUUGUUAUGAGAAAUAUUUUUCAAACAUAUUUAUAUUAUCAUGUAAUGAUGGCUUACCUUAAUGCAUAAGUAGUUUUUAAAUGUCUCAGCUUUAAUUUAGAAUAUAGAAAAAUUAUAUAAACACACACAGGCAC